CGUGCUUAACACAUGCAAGUCGAACGGAGCUUAUUAAGAAAGCGGAGCUUGCUCCAAUGGAUUUUUAAGCUUAGUGGCGGACGGGUGAGUAACGCGUGGGUAACCUGCCUUGCACAGGGGGACAACAGUUGGAAACGACUGCUAAUACCGCAUAAGCCGGUAGAACCGCAUGGUUUAUCCGGAAAAGAUUUAUCGGUGCAAGAUGGGCCCGCGUUGGAUUAGUUAGUUGGCGGGGUAACGGCCCACCAAGACUGCGAUCCAUAGCCGACCUGAGAGGGUGAUCGGCCACAUUGGGACUGAGACACGGCCCAAACUCCUACGGGAGGCAGCAGUGGGGAAUAUUGCGCAAUGGGGGAAACCCUGACGCAGCAACGCCGCGUGAGUGAAGAAGUAUUUCGGUAUGUAAAGCUCUAUCAGCAGGGAAGAAGAUGACGGUACCUGCAGAAGAAGUCCCGGCUAACUACGUGCCAGCAGCCGCGGUAAUACGUAGGGGACAAGCGUUAUCCGGAUUUACUGGGUGUAAAGGGAGCGUAGGCGGCCAGCCAAGUCAGAAGUGAAAUCCCACGGCUCAACUGUGGGCGUGCUUUUGAAACUGGAGGGCUUGAGUACUGGAGGGGCAAGCGGAAUUCCUGGUGUAGCGGUGAAAUGCAUAGAUAUCAGGAAGAACACCGGAGGCGAAGGCGGCUUGCUGGACAGAGACUGACCCUGAGGCUCGAAGCUGGGGAGCAACGGAUAG
rnacentral:rRNA from 1 species